rnacentral:rRNA from 1 species
CGGCUUAGGAUGAACGCUAGCGACAGGCCUAACACAUGCAAGUCGAGGGGCAGCACAAGGAGCAAUCUGAGGUGGCGACCGGCGCACGGGUGAGUAACACGUAUGCAACCUGCCUGUAAGCGGGGAAUAACCCGUUGAAAGACGGACUAAUACCGCAUAAUACUAAAUUACUGCAUGGUAAUUUAUUUAAACAUUUAUGGCUUACAGAUGGGCAUGCGCAUGAUUAGCUAGUUGGAGAGGUAACGGCUCCCCAAGGCAACGAUCAUUAGGGGUUCUGAGAGGAAGGUCCCCCACACUGGUACUGAGACACGGACCAGACUCCUACGGGAGGCAGCAGUGAGGAAUAUUGGUCAAUGGACGAGAGUCUGAACCAGCCAAGUCGCGUGCAGGAAGAAUGUCCUUAAUGGAUUGUAAACUGCUUUUGCAGGGGAAUAAAGUGCAUCACGUGUGAUGUUUUGUAUGUACUCUGCGAAUAAGGAUCGGCUAACUCCGUGCCAGCAGCGGC